UGGGGAAUCUUGGACAAUGGGCGCAAGCCUGAUCCAGCCAUGCCGCGUGAGUGAUGAAGGCCCUAGGGUCGUAAAGCUCUUUCAUCGGUGAAGAUAAUGACGGUAGCCGAAGAAGAAACCCCGGCUAACUCCGUGCCAGCAGCCGCGGUAAUACGGAGGGGGUUAGCGUUGUUCGGAAUUACUGGGCGUAAAGCGCGCGUAGGCGGAUUGGAAAGUUGGGGGUGAAAUCCCAGGGCUCAACCCUGGAACUGCCUCCAAAACUAUCAGUCUAGAGUUCGAGAGAGGUGAGUGGAACUCCGAGUGUAGAGGUGAAAUUCGUAGAUAUUCGGAAGAACACCAGUGGCGAAGGCGGCUCACUGGCUCGAUACUGACGCUGAGGUGCGAAAGUGUGGGGAGCAAACAGGAUUAGAUACCCGCGUAGUCC
rnacentral:rRNA from 1 species